UGCCAGCCGCCGCGGUAAUACGGAGGAUCCAAGCGUUAUCCGGAAUUAUUCGGUUUAAAGGGUCCGUAGGCGGAAAUUUAAGUCAGUGGUGAAAGCCUGCCGCUUAACUGUCGAAUUGCCCUUGAUACUGAAGGCCUUGAGUGUAGUAGAAGUAGGCGGAAUAUGGCAUGUAGCGGUGAAAUGCAUAGAUAUGCCAUAGAACACCGAUUGCGAAGGCAGCUUACUAUGUUACAACUGACGCUGAGGGACGAAAGCGUGGGUAGCAAACAGGAUUCGAUA
rnacentral:rRNA from 1 species